UCUAAAGUAGGCUUCAAUUAUGCCUAAUUCCACGGGCAUAACGAUGAAUGGAGGAGCAACAACCCGAAUUGGAGGCGCCAAAUUAAUGAAUGAUUCGAAAUGAGGCCGUCUUCCAUCCAGAAGCAUUAAGCGAACAAAACGACCCAACAAGAGAGAGAGCGAGAAAGCCUUAAGAGACCCGAAAUCGGUGCCUGCCGGAGGUGCUCGUUAAUAAUGGCGUGAAAAGUUGUGGAUGAAAGCAUUAAGAUCCACAAAACGAAGGCUCAGGACUUGAAAUGAAGACUCCGUGAAAGGAUUGCCUAUGAUAUGUCAUUG